GAUGAACGCUGGCGGCGUGCCUAAUACAUGCAAGUCGAGCGAACAGAUGAGGAGCUUGCUCCUCUGACGUUAGCGGCGGACGGGUGAGUAACACGUGGAUAACCUACCUAUAAGACUGGGAUAACUUCGGGAAACCGGAGCUAAUACCGGAUAAUAUAUUGAACCGCAUGGUUCAAUAGUGAAAGACGGUUUUGCUGUCACUUAUAGAUGGAUCCGCGCCGCAUUAGCUAGUUGGUAAGGUAACGGCUUACCAAGGCAACGAUGCGUAGCCGACCUGAGGGGGUGAUCGGCCACACUGGAACUGAGACACGGUCCAGACUCCUACGGGAGGCAGCAGUAGGGAAUAUUCCGCAAUGGGCGAAAGCCUGACGGAGCAAAGCCGCGUGAGUGAUGAAGGUCUUCGGAUCGUAAAACUCUGUUAUUAGGGAAGAACAAAUGUGUAAGUAACUAUGCACGUCUUGACGGUACCUAAACAGAAAGCCACGGCUAACUACGUG
rnacentral:rRNA from 1 species